rnacentral:rRNA from 1 species
CCUGGUUGAUCCUGCCAGUAGUCAUAUGCUUGUCUCAAAGAUUAAGCCAUGCAUGUGUAAGUACAGGCCGACUUAAGGCGAAACCGCGGACGGCUCAUUAAAUCAGAUAUAACUCAUUGGAUCUCUGCUGAACCGCAUUACUUGGAUAACUGUGGUAAUUCUAGAGCUAAUACAUGCCUUUGUAGUCUCCGACCGCGAGGGAGGAGCGCUUUUAUUAGACCAAAACCCUCGGCAGCCGGUUCCCGCAAGGGGCCGGCCGCACACAUCUUGGUGAAUCAGAAUAACUUUUGCCGAGCGCACGACCCCUCCCGUAACCCGGGUUGGGUCGGCGCCGCGUCCUGCAGGCGUCUGCCUUAUCAGCUCUCGAUUGUAGGUUAAACGCCUACAAUGGCUAUCACGGGUAACGGGGAAUCAGGGUUCGAUUCCGGAGAGGGAGCCUGAGAAACGGCUACCACAUCUAAGGAAGGCAGCAGGCGCGCAAAUUACCCACUCCCGGCACGGGGAGGUAGUGACGAAAAAUACUGUUGCGAGCCCCGAACGGGGCCUCGCAAUUGGAAUGAGUACACUUUAAAUCCUUGUACGAGGAUCGAGUGGAGGGCAAGUCUGGUGCCAGCCGCCGCGGUAAUUCCAGCUCCACUAGCGUAUAUUAAAGUUGUUGCGGUUGAAACGCUCGUAGUUUGACUUCUGCUCCGGACCGGCGGUCCGCCUUAGCGGCGGCUACUGCCGGGUUCCGAGCUGUGUCCCCGCCGGCGCACAUGGGGUUUUUAUGCCCUUAACCGGGUGUCCCCUUGUGGCCGGCACGUUUACUUUGAAAAAAUUAGAGUGCUCAGAGCAGGCUGGUUUUUGCUUACAGCCCGAAUGGUCGUGCAUGGAAUGAUGGAACAGGACCUCGGUUCUAUUUUGUCGGUUUUUCGGAACCCGAGGUAAUGAUUAAUAGAAGCAGACGGGGGCAUUCGUACUGCGACGCUAGAGGUGAAAUUCUUAGACCGUCGCAUGACGACCUACUGCGAAAGCAUCUGCCAAGGAUGUUUUCAUUGAUCAAGAACGAAAGUUAGAGGUUCGAAGGCGAUCAGAUACCGCCCUAGUUCUAACCUUAAACGAUGCUGACUAGCGAUCCGCCGCAGUUAUUCCCAUGACCCGGCGGGUAGCUUCCGGGAAACCAAAGUCUUUGAGUUCCGGGGGAAGUAUGGUUGCAAAGCUGAAACUUAAAGGAAUUGACGGAAGGGCACCACCAGGAGUGGAGCCUGCGGCUCAAUUUGACCCAACACGGGGAAACUCACCAGGCCAGGACACCGGAAGGAUUGACAGAAUGAAGGCUCUUUCUCGAUUCGGUGGGUGGUGGUGCAUGGCCGUUCUUAGUUGGUGGAGUGAUCUGUCUGGUUAAUUCCGAUAACGAACGAGACUCUAGCCUGCUAAAUAGUCGACGGAUCUCAACCCCGUUGCCCCCGUUGUCGUUCGCGGCGAUGCGGGGCGCGGGUUCCCCGAAACCCGGUCGUCGUGCGGGCCUCCACCGUCGGUCGGUUAGCGCCGCCGGCGGCGCGCCCCGCGGCGCCGGAAACUGGCGUCCGCUUCGCAGUCUUCUUCUUAGAGGGAUAAGCGGCAGCAAAAAAUAUACUAGCCGCACGAGAGUUUGAGCCAUAACAGGUCUGUGAUGCCCUUAGAUGUUCUGGGCCGCACGCGCGCUACAAUGGAGAGUUCAGCGAGCUGGCCCUGCUCCGAGAGGAGCGGGUAACCUCGUGAAAGCUGUCCUUAAAGGGGAUUGGGGCUUGCAAAUGUUCCCCAUGAACGAGGAAUUCCCAGUAGGCGCAAUUCACCAGAUUGCGCCGAUUUAGUCCCUGCCCUUUGUACACACCGCCCGUCGCUACUACCGAUUGAAUGGUCUAGUGAGGGCACCGGACUGGCGCCCUUGGAGCCGCUACCGCCUCGGCGGGCAGCGCCCUCGGGUCGACGGAAAGGUGUCCAAGCUGGGUCAUUUAGAGGAAGUAAAAGUCGUAACAAGGUUUCCGUAGGUGAACCUGCGGAAG